rnacentral:rRNA from 1 species
CAUACGACCGUACCGCAAACCGACACUGGUGCGCGAGAUGAGUAUUCUAAGGCGCUUGAGAGAACUCAGGAGAAGGAACUCGGCAAAUUGACACCGUAACUUCGGAAGAAGGUGUGCCCUAUUAGUGUGUAGUGAACAACGAAGCAUGAAAGGGUGCAAAAAAUCGGUGGCUGCGACUGUUUAUUAAAAACACAGCACUCUGCAAACACGAAAGUGGACGUAUAGGGUGUGACGCCUGCCCGGUGCUGGAAGAUUAAAUGAUGGGGUGCAAGCUCUUGAUUGAAGUCCCAGUAAACGGCGGCCGUAACGAUAACGGUCCUAAGGUAGCGAAAUUCCUUGUCGGGUAAGUUCCGACCUGCACGAAUGGCGUAACGAUGGCCACACUGUCUCCUCCUGAGACUCAGCGAAGUUGAAAUGUUUGUGAUGAUGCAAUCUCCCCGCGGAAAGACGGAAAGACCCCAUGAACCUUUACUGUAGCUUUGUAUUGGACUUUGAACAGAUCUGUGUAGGAUAGGUGGGAGGCUUUGAAGCAGGGUCGCUAGAUCUUGUGGAGCCAACGUUGAAAUACCACCCUGGUGUGUUUGAGGUUCUAACCUAGGUCCAUUAUCUGGAUCGGGGACAGUGCAUGGUAGGCAGUUUGACUGGGGCGGUCUCCUCCCAAAGCGUAACGGAGGAGUUCGAAGGUACGCUAGUUACGGUCGGACAUCGUGACGAUAGUGCAAUGGCAUAAGCGUGCUUAACUGCGAGACUGACAAGUCGAGCAGAUGCGAAAGCAGGACAUAGUGAUCCGGUGGUUCUGUAUGGAAGGGCCAUCGCUCAACGGAUAAAAGGUACUCUGGGGAUAACAGGCUGAUACCGCCCAAGAGUUCAUAUCGACGGCGGUGUUUGGCACCUCGAUGUCGGCUCAUCUCAUCCUGGGGCUGUAGCCGGUCCCAAGGGUAUGGCUGUUCGCCAUUUAAAGAGGUACGUGAGCUGGGUUUAAAACGUCGUGAGACAGUUUGGUCCCUAUCUUCCGUGGGCGCUGCAGAUUUGAGGAAGCCUGCUCCUAGUACGAGAGGACCGGAGUGGACGCACCUCUGGUGUAUCGGUUGUCACGCCAGUGGCAUUGCCGAGUAGCUAAGUGUGGAAGAGAUAACCGCUGAAAGCAUCUAAGCGGGAAACUCGUUUCAAGAUGAGAUCUGCCGGGGCCUUGAGCCCCCUAAAGAGUCGUUCAAGACCAGGACGUUGAUAGGUCAGGUGUGGAAGC